AUGACUACACCAGUCAAAGCCGAUGUUCAAGCUAUGGAAAAAAUGAUGGAACCGCCACCUUCUGAAGGUGACGAGGCAACUAUAGCCGCAAUGUCACCUCUUGUUGCAGUGGGUCAGUACCUGUCCACUAACAGUGCCAAAAGCACGUUCCUGCGUAAUACUAGGUUGGUUGUUAAGGCAAUCUCGUCCAAACUGCCUCAUGAGCAAGAUAUGCAAGCUCAAAACAAUGUUAUAUCUGCGCUUCAGACACAAGUCCAUUCUCUAACAGAGACCCUUUGUGAAACAAGGACAUCCAUUGUUCGAUGUCGUCAAGAUAUGCAUGGUUUUGAACCAGACUAUCAGACAUUUGCUAUGUUCUUCAGGAGCCUAGGAGAAAUGAAGACGAAGGUUAUGGUGCUCCAUCUGACAGUAUAA
rnacentral:rRNA from 1 species